rnacentral:rRNA from 1 species
CAGUCGCCGCGGGAAGACAGAGGAUGCAAGCGUUAUCCGGAAUGAUUGGGCGUAAAGCGUCUGUAGGUGGCUUUUCAAGUCCGCCGUCAAAUCCCAGGGCUCAACCCUGGACAGGCGGUGGAAUCUACCAAGCUGGAGUACGGUAGGGGCAGAGGGAAUUUCCAGUGGAGCGGUGAAAUGCGUUGAGAUCGAAAAGAACACCAACAGCGAAAGCACUCUGCUGGGACGACACUGACACUAAGAGACGAAAGCUAGGGGAGCAAAUGGGAUUAGAUACCCGCGUAGUCCCUGUCUCUUAUAA